rnacentral:lncRNA from 1 species
UGAACAUCCACUAGGUUCUGGGUAUAUACUUUAUACACACAUGGCCCCUUUAUUCCUCUCAGUGACCCUCAGGGUAGGUCUCACUACCCAAGUGUUAGAGUGAAGGACGCUGAGACUCAAGAAGAGGAACAGGUCAGGGUCAGACAGAGCUGGAAUUUGGACACAGUUCUGUCUGACUCCAGAUAUUCCUUGUAUCACACAAUACUGUCUUCUGAAGCAAGUGAUUGUCCCCAACACACACACACACACACACACACUCUCUCUCUCUCUCUCUCUCUCUCUCUCUCUCUCUCUCUCUCUCAGCAGAGCUGAGGAUAAAGAGGAAUAUCCUGCACACUUCUUCCUUCUGUGUCAGGGAACAUUUGCUUGUCUACAGCUCGAGUAUUUGUAAACACUCAGUAGCACCCAAACCCUGAGCCCUAGCAGUUUCCUUUUGCUUGUUUACUAGCAAGAGUAGCAUGUCGGAGGACGAUGAGACAUUGAAUCAAACUCUUAGACAAGCUGGUGAAAGUUUUAACGACUGCUGGAGGCAACAUGCUUCCACACUGACAGAAAUCAUCUUUCAAAAAUCCUGCACAUAUCUCAGGCUUAUGAAACAAACUAAUUCCUAAUAGUUGGAAAUGAAUUAAAAGCUUGCGGUGAGAUAAAAGAUAGAUUUUGGCUGGAUGUGAUGACUCAUGCCUGUGAUCCCUACACUUUAGGAGGGCACAGCAGGAGGAUCGCCUGAGCCCAGGAAUUCAAGACCAGCCUGGUCAACAUAGCAAGACUCUCUCUCUGCAAAAAAAAAGAAAAAAAAAAAAACCUCCCAAAAAAAAGGUUUUACUAGGCAUGAAAAUGAGUCCAUUUCCAUUCUAGGCCCCAGGAUAUCACCAUGACCAAUAAAAACAAUCUGUGGCACUCAGCAGGUGCAUGUCAACAUGGGCAGGUUCUUUCUCCCCGUCAGCAGGACAAGAACAUCUCCCCUAUCCAAAAGGCACCCACUGAGGAUCCGCAGUUCUCUGGAAUUAUGCUGAGCACCCAGAUGUGUGCAACUAAGCCCUGAGCAGUCGAUGUGGAGCGCACUUGAAGGCACUUCAUUUUUUUUUAAGAUACACUCUUAGGAGUUUACUUUAACCCACUUCCCAGCUCAUAGCACACGAGGAGAGGCAGACAUUUUAACCUUGGUAAGACCUGACAAAUGACAAUAGUUGGACCCCACAGCAAUCAUUACUUUUGUAGACAGCAAAGUUAUGCUCCUUGGCUUCAGGUGAAGACCCCCAGAUCCAGGCCAGUGGAUUUACAAGUGAGAGUCAGCAGCACUGGGCAUUUCAGGCAAUAGCUCUGAACAAGCCCUUUACCAUGCGGGUAGGUAAACCCCAGAAUAUACAGAUGCCCCUUACGAUACAUGGGUGGGGAGGGUAUGUGGCCGAGAGAGCAUAAGCUUAGGAGACAGAGUGGAUUUGAAUUCCACUGAGCUUUUGGCUGUGGACCCAUGGGGACGUGGCAUAUGUCUCGCUGAGCCUUAGUUUCCUCCUGCAUGGAAUAGGGAGAGCAAUAGUACCUGCCUCAUUCAGCUAACGUGAGGAUCUAGAGCAGCAUUUGCAUAAAUGACGCGUGGGGCACAGAGCAGACUCAACACAGAGCAGCUUACGUUAUGAGGCUUGGCAGGCUGGGAGCUCCUGUCGGCCUCUCUCCUCAGCUCUGUGCCCACUGAGCUCGGCACAAGGGUUGGCCCAUGACAGGUGUUUAUUAUGUGGAAAUAAAUGAGAGGGACAAGACAUUUGCUGAUUUCUUCACUGUUUCCAACUGGGAAUUCAAAUGUAUCUCACGUUCCCAUACCCUCACAAUAAAUCUGUUCAGGAGAAAAAAUGUGUACGCCUUUUAACAGACAGCACUGAGAUAUACAGAAAGUAAGAACUUUCAGGCUGGGCGCGGUGGCUCACGCCUGUAAUCCCAGCACUUUGGGAGGCUGAGGCGGGUGGAUCACGAGGUCAGGAGAUCGAGACCAUCCUGGCUAACACAGUGAAACCCCGUCUCUACUAAAAAUACAAAAAUUAGCCAGGUGUGGUGGCGGGCACCUGUAGUCCCAGCUACUCAGGAGGCUGAGGCAGGAGAAUGGCGUGAACCUGGAAGGCGGAGCUUGCAGUGAGCCAAGAUCGCGCCACUGCACUCCAGCCUGGGCGACAGAGCAAAACUCCGUCUCAAAAAAAAAAAAA